rnacentral:rRNA from 1 species
GACGAACGCUGGCGGCGUGCUUAACACAUGCAAGUCGAACGGAAAGGCCCUGCUUGCGGGGUACUCGAGUGGCGAACGGGUGAGUAACACGUGGGUGAUCUGCCCUGCACUUCGGGAUAAGCCUGGGAAACUGGGUCUAAUACAGGAUAGGAGCCAUUUUUAGUGUGAUGGUUGGAAAGUUUUUUCGGGGUAGGAUGAGCUCGCGGCCUAUCGGCUUGCUGGUGGGGUAAUGGCCUACCAAGGCGGCGACGGGUAGCCGGCCUGAGAGGGUGGACCGCCACACUGGGACUGAGAUACGGCCCAGACUCCUACGGGAGGCAGCAGUGGGGAAGAUUGCACGAGGGGCGCAAGCCUGAUGCAGCGACGCCGCGUGGGGGAUGACGGCCUUCGGGUUGUAAACUCCUUUCGCUAGGGACGAAGCUUGUUGUGACGGUACCUAGAUAGGAAGCACCGGCUAACUACGUG